rnacentral:rRNA from 1 species
CCCUUAGACGUUCUGGGCCGCACGCGCGCUACACUGACCAGUGCAACAAGCAUCCGUCCUUGGCCGACAGGCCCGGGCAAUCUUUGAACGCUGGUCGUGAUGGGGAUAGACUUUUGCAAUUUUUGGUCUUCAACGAGGAAUUCCUAGUAAACGCAAGUCAUCAACUUGCAUUGAUUACGUCCCUGCCCUUUGUACACAUCGCCCGUCGCACCUACCGAUUGAAUGGUCCGGUGAAGCCUCCGGAUUGGCGCGCACCUCGGUGCCGCCGAGAAGUUGGCUAAACCUUACCAUUUAGAGGAAGGUGAAGUCGUANCA